rnacentral:rRNA from 1 species
CAGUCGAACGCUUUGUGGUUCAACUGAUUUGAAGAGCUUGCUCAGAUAUGACGAUGGACAUUGCAAAGAGUGGCGAACGGGUGAGUAACACGUGGGAAACCUACCUCUUAGCAGGGGAUAACAUUUGGAAACAGAUGCUAAUACCGUAUAACAAUGACAACCGCAUGGUUGUUAUUUAAAAGAUGGUUCUGCUAUCACUAAGAGAUGGUCCCGCGGUGCAUUAGCUAGUUGGUAAGGUAAUGGCUUACCAAGGCGAUGAUGCAUAGCCGAGUUGAGAGACUGAUCGGCCACAAUGGGACUGAGACACGGCCCAUACUCCUACGGGAGGCAGCAGUAGGGAAUCUUCCACAAUGGGCGAAAGCCUGAUGGAGCAACGCCGCGUGUGUGAUGAAGGGUUUCGGCUCGUAAAACACUGUUGUAAGAGAAGAAUGACAUUGAGAGUAACUGUUCAAUGUGUGACGGUAUCUUACCAGAAAGGAACGGCUAAAUACGUGCCAGCAGCCGCGGUAAUACGUAUGUUCCAAGCGUUAUCCGGAUUUAUUGGGCGUAAAGCGAGCGCAGACGGUUAUUUAAGUCUGAAGUGAAAGCCCUCAGCUCAACUGAGGAAUUGCUUUGGAAACUGGAUGACUUGAGUGCAGUAGAGGAAAGUGGAACUCCAUGUGUAGCGGUGAAAUGCGUAGAUAUAUGGAAGAACACCAGUGGCGAAGGCGGCUUUCUGGACUGUAACUGACGUUGAGGCUCGAAAGUGUGGGUAGCAAACAGGAUUAGAUACCCUGGUAGUCCACACCGUAAACGAUGAG